GAGCGCCCCGCAAGGGGAGCGGCAGACGGGUGAGUAACGCGUGGGAAUCUACCUAGCUCUACGGAAUAACCCAGGGAAACUUGGACUAAUACCGUAUACGUCCUUCGGGAGAAAGAUUUAUCGGAGUUAGAUGAGCCCGCGUUGGAUUAGCUAGUUGGUGGGGUAAUGGCCUACCAAGGCGACGAUCCAUAGCUGGUCUGAGAGGAUGAUCAGCCACACUGGGACUGAGACACGGCCCAGACUCCUACGGGAGGCAGCAGUGGGGAAUAUUGGACAAUGGGCGAAAGCCUGAUCCAGCCAUGCCGCGUGAGUGAUGAAGGCCCUAGGGUUGUAAAGCUCUUUCACCGGUGAAGAUAAUGACGGUAACCGGAGAAGAAGCCCCGGCUAACUUCGUGCCAGCAGCCGCGGUAAUACGAAGGGGGCUAGCGUUGUUCGGAAUUACUGGGCGUAAAGCGCACGUAGGCGGACUAUUAAGUCAGGGGUGAAAUCCCGGGGCUCAACCCCGGAACUGCCUUUGAUACUGGUAGUCUAGAGUCCGAGAGAGGUGAGUGGAAUUCCGAGUGUAGAGGUGAAGUU
rnacentral:rRNA from 1 species